rnacentral:rRNA from 1 species
AUACGUAGGGUGCGAGCGUUGUCCGGAAUUACUGGGCGUAAAGAGCUCGUAGGUGGUUUGUCGCGUCGUCUGUGAAAUUCCGGGGCUUAACUCCGGGCGUGCAGGCGAUACGGGCAUAACUUGAGUACUGUAGGGGAGACUGGAAACCCGGGUGUAGCGGGGAAAUGCGCAGAUAUCAGGAGGAACACCGGUGGCGAAGGCGGGUCUCUGGGCAGUAACUGACGCUGAGGAGCGAAAGCAUGGGUAGCGAACAGGAUUAGAUACCCUGGUAGUCCAUGCCGUAAACGGUGGGCGCUAGGUGUAGGGGUCUUCCACGACUUCUGUGCCGUAGCUAACGCAUUAAGCGCCCCGCCUGGGGAGUACGGCCGCAAGGCUAAAACUCAAAGGAAUUGACGGGG